UACGUAGGGUGCAAGCGUUAAUCGGAAUUACUGGGCGUAAAGCGUGCGCAGGCGGUUUUGUAAGUCUGUCGUGAAAGCCCCGGGCUCAACCUGGGAAUUGCGAUGGAGACUGCAAGGCUUGAAUCUGGCAGAGGGGGGUAGAAUUCCACGUGUAGCAGUGAAAUGCGUAGAGAUGUGGAGGAACACCGAUGGCGAAGGCAGCCCCCCUGGGUCAAGAUUGACGCUCGAUGCACGAAAGCGUGGGGAGCAAACAGG
rnacentral:rRNA from 1 species